rnacentral:rRNA from 1 species
UGGUGACCAGCGGAGGGAUCAUUACAGAGUUGCAAAACUCCCAAACCAUUGUGAACGUUACCAACCGUUGCUUCGGCGGGCGGGGCCUCGCGCCCCCCCCGGCCCUCGCGGGCGCCCGCCGGAGGUACCCAACUCUUGACUACCAUAUGGCCUCUCUGAGUCUUCUGUACUGAAUAAGUCAAAACUUUCAACAACGGAUCUCUUGGUUCUGGCAUCGAUGAAGAACGCAGCGAAAUGCGAUAAGUAAUGUGAAUUGCAGAAUUCAGUGAAUCAUCGAAUCUUUGAACGCACAUUGCGCCCGCCAGUAUUCUGGCGGGCAUGCCUGUUCGAGCGUCAUUUCAACCAUCAAGCCCACGGCUUGUGCUGGGGACCUGCGGCUGCCGCAGGCCCUGAAAACCAGUGGCGGGCUCGCUGUCACCCCGAGCGUAGUAGCAUACAUCUCGCUCUGGGCGUGCCGCGGGCGCCUGCCGUGAAACAAACACAACACAAGGUUGACCUCGGAUCAGGUAGGAAGACCCGCUGAACUUAAGC